CCCUUAGAUGUCCGGGGCUGCACGCGCGCUACACUGAAGGAAUCAGCGUGCUAAAACCAUUGUCGAAAGGCAUUGGUAAACCCAUUAAAAUCCUACGUGAUUGGGAUCGGGAAUUGCAAUUAUUUCCCUUGAACGAGGAAUUCCCAGUAAGUGUGGGUCAUAAGCUCGCGUUGAUUACGUCCCUGCCCUUUGUACACACCGCCCGUCGCUGCCCGGGACUGAGCCGUUUCGAGAAAAGCGGGGACUGCUGCUGUCGGGGCUUUCGGGCCUUGGCUUCGGUGGAAACCGCUUUAAUCGCAGUGGCUUGAACCGGGCAAAAGCCGUAACA
rnacentral:rRNA from 1 species